AUAAAACAGCAACAAAAAAACCUAUAUGGUCAUGAAAUAUAUUUCCUUUCUCUGUAGCUCUACCUGUGCAUAGGUACUACAGUUCCAAGCAGACCCAUAUCUAUUGUAAAAUAGAAAUUACUGCCCACCUUCUUACCCUAGCCUCCCAAAUCCUUCAUGGACUUUGGCCAAAGUCCACUGAAAGAUGGGCAAAGAGCAGAGGUAGAAUUCUGGGUGAAAGUUGUGCUCGGUGAUCCAAAAGGGAAAAAUAAAAUCUGCCAGCAGUUAUUCUGGGGUUUGCACAAUUCUAGAAUGAUAAAAAAUGGAGAGAGGGACAAAACAUCUGGGGAUAAUAAGGAGGAAACAAGCAAACUUGGGAAUUAAUAAAAAAUACUGUUUUCCAGAAAGGAGCAUAGCACUUCAAAACAGAUGUUUGGGCUUGAAAUUUUCCAGAACAGAACAAAUGAGAGGGGAGAAGCAAGCCUAAGAACUGGAGCACAGCGGGGCCUUCAUAAAAGAACCACUGGCCGUCAAAGAGUUAACUGCAGUUUGAACAUGCUUAAGUCUUUCAUCUCUUGCUUCCAAAUCCCAUCCCUUCAAAACACACGUCUUUGUCCAUACAUCUCCAAAUGCACAGAGAGAUGUACUUAGGAGCUAACCCCUGAAAAAAACUCCAGAAAGGCACACCAGUGGAGAAUGCCAAGCUGAAGGCAAAUCUCCUUUGCUUCUGGGUAGGGAGAAGAAGGGAAGAGCUAGGCAGAGCCAAUGACCUCCUCUGAGACUGAGGCUGAGUUACAAACACGACUGAGAUCCAAGCUAGAGAUUCAAUAGUAAGAAAAGUGCCUGCUGUUUUCUUGCUCAUUUCUCUUAUCUACCCUGGGAGUUAAGCAUAUGUUAGAGUGAAAGCCACAGACCAUGUGUCCCUGAAGAUACUAGAAGGAACAUUCAGAGUUUUGACAUUAACCUACAGCUGAAGGAGACACUGCCUGUUCCUGGCCCUCUGUAUCUGGAGUAGGUGGGUAUAUAUUAAAGGGUUUUAGAAGUUCAGAAAAAGACCAAACAAGUCAUAAAUGACUAAGAAAAUCACAGCUAUAGUAGAUCUAUAUUUCUGUUCAAUUACACCUUACAUUAUGCAGCUGUUGGAAACACUGUUGACCUGAUUAUAUUUUCUUACAUAAGGUGAUUCUUUCAUGUUCCAAUAAACAGGUGACUCUAUCCACUGCUGUCCAAAAGAGAUAUAAUGAAAACCACAUAUGGAAUUUCAACUUUCUAGUAGCCACAUUUUUAAAAAGAUAAAAAGGUGAAAUUAAUUUAACAAUAUAUUGUUCUUAAUGUACUACAUCCAAAAUGAUUAUUAUUUCAAAAUAUAAUCAACAUAAAAAUUAUUAUUGGCACAUUUCAUUUUUGCAUUAAGCCUUCAACAUUUGGUAUGCAUUGUUCACUGGCAGCACAUUUCAAUUUGGAUUAGUCACAUUUCAAGUGCUCAAUAGCUGAUGUGACCAAUGGCCACCAUAUUGUUCAGCAGUCACUGGUUUGACAUAGUGAUUCUUUUUCUACCCUUUAUUUUUGGCAAUCUAUAUCUUAAUCUUGUUGAAAGAACUGCCAACAAUGUCUCAUCUAACAUAUCAAAAAACAUGUAUCCUCUUUUGAAGCAAAAAUAACUUUUACACAACAAUGAAAAUUUGGUGGAAUUCCUAUGUAAGUAUCACAAAAUAUCAGCAUGUCCUAACUUACCUGUUGAGAAUAACUGGUAAGUGAGAGAAAGAGGGGCUGAGAAGGGAAAAUAUGUUUCUACAAAAAGAUCCAACCAAUAAUUAUCAGAAUGUCUCUUUGAUGGUUUCCACAGUAAAUUGUCAAAUCAAAGCCCUUUAGAGUAUCUAGUCCAAACUUCGUAAGUAAUAAAGAGCUAGGAUGGUCCCUAACCACAAUGAGGCCAUAAUUGGAGAACACAGGAGGAUUGAUUUGAAAAUGUCACAAAUGUUGUUAAUCAACUCCCAUGGACAUAAAAGAUUCAUUAAUUCAUUCUGUAGGCAAUCAAGUUCACCAUGUCUAGGGCAUAUUUUAAGGAAUGAAACUGAAUGGCUGAAAACGCAAAUAAAAGACAUUUUUGAAUAUUUUAAUUUUAAAGUGAAAUAGCAAAAGAUGUAAAUCUCAGAGUUAAGAGUGGCCAAAAUACACUCGGCCUUUAUGUAUACUGCAUUUCAAGUAAAUGGCUCUGAAAGAAAUUCUUUGACCAUAGGAGAGCCUUCAUUCUCUAGCAAUCUCAAUUCCUUGCUAAAUCUUCAGUUAUGAUUUCAUCUAUGCAAGUUAUAAUGAAUUUGUUUUAGUGAUCCAAAAAAGGGAAAUAAAACUGCAUUUUCCUUCAAUCACUCAGCUCAUUUUAAAAGAUUAUUUUUAUAAAUGAUGUUAAAUUGACUUGAUUUUCACAGUUGCUUUCAAUUAAAUCAAAAUGACUCUUUCUGGAACAUACAAAAAAUAGAAAUGUUUAAAAGCAAAUGCUUUGAAAAGUGGAUAAUGUGCUACCCACAACUUCAUGAGAAAUAUUUUUAUUGAAUAAUAUUUAUUAGAAUAGCAUAUCCUUAGCCUUGAUCAUACAUGAUCUAUAAGUCAAAUUUAUGUUGAGAAAUUUUUAUUUUACCAUGCAUUAUCCCCUUGUAUUUCAUUUGUCAACUGAGAAAAAUUUGAGUGCCUCUGUGAGAUACCAUGUAGAUUACCUCUGCAUAAAAUUUAUACCCUAACUAAGGAAGUCAUUACUGAAAUAUGGAAACUCCUUGUCAGAAACUGCUUCUUAAAAUAUAAAAAGAAAGACAAAAUGGAAUUUGAAAAGAAAUAAAAUAAUUUUAAAAACUUUA